AACACCACAAUUUAGUGUAAUAAGUAACAGUGUAAAUUG
rnacentral:guide_RNA from 1 species